GUUUCUUCCUCCCAAGCAUGUUGUGAUGACAUCAGCUACACCACAGCUUUCGAAGAAAGUGCUGUCCUUAACAGAUGAAAACAACAACUUGGAGAAGGCUCUCAUCUCCCUCAGACCAAUUCUCAUUAUUGCAGCCUUUGUGUUAUUUCCCAUUUCCAGACCAUCGACAAAACCUGCUGCUAAUGCCACAACAUUCUUCA
rnacentral:misc_RNA from 1 species